CCCCCUACGACCUGUACUUUGGCGCAGUAAGGGGGCUCAGUACUCAAUUCUUUGGGGAAGCGAAACAGGU
rnacentral:ribozyme from 1 species